rnacentral:rRNA from 1 species
UACGUAGGCAGCGAGCGUUGUUCGGAAUUACUGGGCGUAAAGAGUGUGUAGGCGGUGCUCUAAGUUCGGUGUGAAAUCUCCCGGCUUAACUGGGAGGGUGCGCCGGAAACUGGAGUGCUCGAGCGUGGGAGAGGAAAGCGGAAUUCCUGGUGUAGCGGUGAAAUGCGUAGAUAUCCGGAGGAACACCAGUGGCGAAGGCGGCUUCCUGGUCUGCGACUGACGCUGUGGCGCGAAAGCUAGGGGAGCAAACGGG